rnacentral:tRNA from 2 species
GCGAGAUUAGCCGAAUUGGUUUAGGCAGCAGAUUUAAAAUCUGUCGGCUUUGCCACCUGUGGGUUCGAGUCCCACAUCUCGCA